CGCCUGCGCGGGCCCGGACACACUCUGCACAUGCGCAUCGCCUGCGCCUGCGCCGGGUCCGGCCGUGAGCUGAGGGGCGGAGCGGAGUGAGGAAAUGCAGAUCGCGUUCGGCCAUGGAUGGUGGUGUCUGCUGUGCUGCUACGUGCACUGCGCUGUGCAUUGCUCAUCUGCCGGGUAGAACCGACCAGCUGCGGUGUAAGGAACAUCGACCCCUCUGCAUUAGAGCACAUUACAGCCAUCAGCACCGGGAUGUCUCAAAAAGGUUUUUAAAACUAAAUGCUGAAUUAUGUUCUAGAAAAGACUUCCACUGUAUUUGUUACAUAUAUCAAACCUACACGAUAUGUGUGCAAUGUUGCUAAGUAUCUAAGUGUCCCAUCGCAAUCAGGAAGAACAUCUACCUGAGGAAACAGCCACAGCCUUCAUGGGGAUCUCUGCACCCUGCUAAAAUCAAAAUAAUAACUAAUUUGGGGGAAGGAGGGGAAGAAAGGCUUCAGCCGAAUGAUACACAGUGAAAAACAUGUCUCAAAAAGGCAAAAAAUGAGGGGUGGUGAGAUGAUCUGAGACAGAGGCAUCGUGGGAGCUCUCGACUUCAGUAGGAAAAGACUUGUUCCCCUCAGAACUGACUAAACCAAACAAACUGUGCUUCUUCCUGUUUCUCAGGGUGUUUUCUCCCAAAGCAAAUCCGUUCCCUAAAAGCAAACACAACUUGCUGCAGCCUUCCCAGCCAUUAGGGGGGAGAUGCGCCCCAGGGGUGAUGCUGGAAAUCCUCAGUGCUUCCCUCAAACUCUUGGGAAAUUUCCAGACAGUAUUUGGUCACAACCACCCAUCCACAAUGUUCUGCUUCCUUUUCUUCCUUCUCAGGCUCAGUACAAAGUGCUCCACAUCACAUUAUCCUAAAAAUCACUGUCCUAUAAAAAAGCACAGCAUCUCUACUGUUGAUUUUGGUGUAGGGCACAUGAAAAGCAGCAUGAUUUUGUCCUCCAGCAGCAGACACAUGGCAAUUUAUGACUGCUAGGUACGUAUUGUUUGAAGAGAAACCAUUGCAAGGCCCUUAGCUCCAGAUGAAUUCUAAGUUGUGGUACCAUUUCUCAGCAGCUUUUGGCAUUCUGGUGCUUCUUGAUUAUUUUGGUAGGGCUUUAUUUAAGAUACUUUAGUUUAAUACACUUUCUUAAGCUUGUACAUAAACUCAAAUAAGAAAUUACAGCCUAAUUCAUCCACAAAAAUACCCCACUGCUUUGUCAGGCUUUAAACUGAACGUCAAUGGUUUUUCCUCCCUAAAAAUUUCCUUUCCUGGCUGUCAAAAGUGACAGUUGUGGUAGAGUCACACAUAAGAGGAAAGUCCCCACUUUGUUCUCUGCUGCCUCUCAGCACAGGCUUAGGCCUCGUAAAACCUACAGAGCCAAGCAGCAUAGCAAGAGCUGCAAAUCUAUCUAGGUGGGAACAGGCCCUCUCGUGAAAUUUCCAGACAGUUGUAAUUCUAGUUAAGUCAAGAAAUGCCCCUGAGUCACUUCCUUGGAGGGAUUCUGGCACUUCUGCUUUUUGCCUGAGUGAGAGGGUAGGGAAUCAGAUGAGCAAACCAAGGCACGCAGGGAAAACAACCUGGCCAGAUCUGCCUUCCUCUGUAAGUCACAUCUGAACUCAGUUCCUGAUGGAGGGUGUCACUCUGGAGGAAAUGGGCCAACUCUGUGACCAAUGGCAAAAAUAUUUUCCUGCUCCUUUUAAGUGCAGUUUGCUAAACAAACUAAUUUCAGUUAAAUGAGAAAGAAAAGCAGGAAGGAAAUGAUCUGCCAAGGUUUUGGUAAGAGGUGACAAUAUCUCUAAGCUACAAAUUCAGCAAACACGGAUUUCCAUCAGAAGCUGGCGGGCUCCCAACAGAAGCCGCACAGCCGCUCCAGCAGCGCUGCCAGCUCUAUCUCCAUCGAGAGGUUGGUUUCACCUCCCGAGAGGACAUUGCUCCAACAGAUUUGUCCAUUAGAGGGCAUUAUAGGCCACCGAAAUCCCUGAAGUUCCAAGUGUCAGAAAACAGUCCGUAUUUAUUUCCAUUUGAUCAAUGAAUGGUGGUUUUGUAUUCUAUCCUUGACAUUUGCCUUACUAUCUCACUUGCAACGUGCUGUAUAGAUUUCAAAAUGCAACGAAACUCUCUCUGAUGGAUUAAACCAUGGAUUUUAUUCUGUA